GACGUAGGGGACGAGCGUUGUCCGGAUUUAUUGGGCGUAAAGAGCGCGUAGGCGGCUUGGUAAGUCGGAUGUGAAAUCCCGGGGCUCAACCCCGUGACUGCACCCGAAACUGCCCGGCUAGAGGUAGGUAGGGGAGAUCGGAAUUCCUGGUGUAGCGGUGAAAUGCGCAGAUAUCAGGAGGAACACCGGUGGCGAAGGCGGAUCUCUGGGCCUUACCUGACGCUCAGGCGCGAAAGCUAGGGGAGCAAACAGG
rnacentral:rRNA from 1 species